rnacentral:lncRNA from 1 species
CCUUUUUAGAUGGCACGUACAGCAGGCAGACUUUUUAUGCAGCUCUACACAUUCAUAUUUUUAGCCAGAUGAAAAUGAUCGAUAACCCAUGUGCUUCUAACAGAGGCACUUUGUCAUCCACCACUGGCUAGUAGUGCCUAUGGCUAAUCAGCAUGACUAGCCAAGUCACCCCUCAGAAGAAAGCCUACACCUAGAACAAAGACAUGCCCCCGGUGGAGAAGCUACAAUUGACAGAGCUUGUGAAGUCCAGUUUGGACCUCUGUGAAGAGGUGGUGUAUGAAGACGAGCAGCAGAGGUUCAGAGAACUGAGGCAGAAGAUGAUCCAAAUGGACAGAGCUGAGUUUGGCUAUGGCCUCCCUCUUUCACGCUUCUCUAGAGCAGCAGAGGGCUGAUACACCCCCUGCCCGUCAUUAAAAGAAAGAAAGAGAUUACCAGUGGAAAUAUAUUUCCAGAGGUCCCUCCGUUUGACAUGCAGUACUGGAAGAGGUCAGAGGAGAGAAGACUGGCUGCAAUGAACAAAGUAGGAA